rnacentral:misc_RNA from 1 species
UUAACUUAUUUUAUAGUACUUCAGAAGACAUGUUACAGAAGAGUUUUUAGGGUGCUUUCGGCAGGCCUUGUAUAGCGCCCCGCCCUGGGGCGGCCUGCCGAGGCAACACACAGUUUUGUCCACAGUGGUUUGGAGUUGUAUAACUCGGUAAUGAUCCCUCCGCUGGUUCACCAACGGAGA